rnacentral:rRNA from 1 species
AACGAACGCUGGCGGCAUGCCUAACACAUGCAAGUCGAACGGGAUCCAGUCUUCGGAUUGGUGAGAGUGGCGGACGGGUGAGUAACGCGUGGGAACCUGCCCAGUGGUGGGGGAUAACUGCGGGAAACUGCAGCUAAUACCGCAUGAGCCCGAGAGGGGAAAGAUUUAUCGCCAUUGGAGGGGCCCGCGUUCGAUUAGGUAGUUGGUGAGGUAAUGGCUCACCAAGCCUACGANCGAUAGCUGGUCUGAGAGGAUGAUCAGCCACACUGGGACUGAGAUACGGCCCAGACUCCUACGGGAGGCAGCAGUGGGGAAUAUUGGACAAUGGGGGCAACCCUGAUCCAGCAAUGCCGCGUGAGUGAUGAAGGCCU